ensembl:snRNA U6 U6 spliceosomal RNA
AUGCUCACUUCAGUAGCAUGUAUACUGAAAUUGGAACGAUACAGAGAAGACUAGCAUGGCCCCUGUGCAAGGAUGACAUGCAAAUUCGUGAAAUGUUCCAUAUUUUU